AUUGAACGCUGGCGGCAGGCCUAACACAUGCAAGUCGAGCGGAUGAAGGGAGCUUGCUCCUGGAUUCAGCGGCGGACGGGUGAGUAAUGCCUAGGAAUCUGCCUGGUAGUGGGGGAUAACGUCCGGAAACGGGCGCUAAUAUCGCAUACGUCCUGAGGGUGAAAGGGGGGGUUCUUCGGACCUCACGCUAUCAGAUGAGCCUAGGUCGGAUUAGCUAGUUGGUGGGGUAAAGGCCUACCAAGGCGACGAUCCGUAACUGGUCUGAGUGGAUGAUCAGUCACACUGGAACUGAGACAGCGUCCAGACUCCUACGGGAGGCAGCAGUGGGGAAUAUUGGAAAAUGGGCGAAAGCCUGAUCCAGCAAUGCCGCGUGUGUGAAGAAGGUCUUCGGAUUGUAAAGCACUUUAAGUUGGGAGGAAGGGCAGUAAGUUAAUACCUCGCUGUUUUGACGGUACCAACAGAAUAAGCACCGGCUAACUUCGUG
rnacentral:rRNA from 1 species